UUUCGCGCGGUUAAACGUUAUCAGAAGUCAAACCACAAGUUCGGAGUUUUGUUCUCUUUUAUUGCGUAACCAAAUACUAUUUAACAAAUUUUUACUUAUAGAUUGUCACGAAACAAUUUCAUUGUCAUCGAUGACAAAAAGAGUCACUGAAAAUACGUAAAAAGAGAGUAAACAAUUAUUAGCAAACCAUCUAUAGAAAAAUUAUGUUAACAGUGGAAGACAUCAGUGAAUUAUAGUUGGGCUGCUCCUGUUUCUUGUCAUAACUGAUUGAAAUUAAAAUGUUAAAUAACAAAAAAAAAUUAUGGUAAUUUUCAAUUACGAACGAGAAAAAUGUGUAUUAUACGUACAAAAAAUAACACGUUUUAAGAUUAUACAUUUUGGAAUGUGUCAGUAUACCGGUCACGUCGAAAUGAUUAUUAAUAUAUAAUUUAACUGAUAAAAAAAAGUUCGCCGACAUCAAAAAUAAAAACCCAUAUAAUUAUAGGAUCAGAUCAAUAACCAUUUUAUAAUCACUAUUUUUCAAAUUUGGACAAAGUAAAACUACUUAGGACAUGAUUAAUGAGCAGUGAUGGUGACAUAUCACCAUUAAAAUUAAUAGUUAAGAAGUAGUUAUUGAAACUAAUGUCGAUAGAAAUGUAUACAUUUCUAAUUAAAUUAUAUUAACAGGAUGGAUUAUUAAGUAACGGCGAUUUCGGAAUACUUAGGUUUAACAUUUACAAGUGAUUCAUCAACUCUCUCACCUUAAAUUAUUUUGAAGGAGAUAUUUCCUCCCUAGUUAGAUACCACUGUCUAACUUUAAAGUAAUUGUUUAAAAAUUUCAUAACUUAAUUUAUCUUUGAGAGUAUAAACAUAGGCACACUCAUACACCACAUUUACUGGUCCUGACAUACUCUAUAGCUCCAUGAAUCCUUUAAGAAUAAACGCUUUUUAAUUACAAUUGAAGCAAGCAACCAAUAGGGCGUCAAAAUAAUUCACUCACCAAGCGCUAAAAAAAUUAAAACGACUCCUUUUUAGGGUAAUCAUUAAGAAAUCUAAGCUAAAUUAUGAAAAUAAAGGCCAAAUUUAUAUUUGAUAUAUUUAAUUUAUAUCUCACCUGCAAAUAAUUAUUUUUAUAUUUUUAUUGAAGAAUUAAGGAAUUUAUGAAAAUCUCUAAUUAAAAUAUAAUAAAAAAAAGAAUCAUAAUACAUACAAGUGAAUUUUACACCCAGAAUAACUGAUUUAUACAAAUUAGUUUAUCACCUACUGGUGAUAAACUAAAUUCAUUUUUUCAAAGUACUCUACUUAAAAAUAAGGGAACUAUUAGAAGCCUGCCUUUUAAAAAUGUUAAAUGUUACUGUGAUUACACAUUGACUAUUUCGUUGUAAAAUAUAUGUUUUUAAUACAUAUUUUUUUUUAUUAUUGACAAUUGGUUAUGAAAACUAAUCAACAAUAACUUAUUGUUAAUAUUAAUUAGCUACAAGAUUCUUUUUAAGAAAAAACAUAAAGUAAUUAGAAUUACGACAUUAUUUUAGAUUUCAAAAUAAAUAAGACUUAAUCUUAAAGGUACUAUACCAAUUUUUUUAAACAAAAUAAGUUUUGUAGUUUAUAAAAAAUUUUGCGCUGUAAUUUUAAUUUUGGAUUUACUAAUUACAAUUUAUAAAAACUACUUAGAAUAAUAGCAAGGCUAACAUAACACAGAGUGUUCAGUGAGUAAGGAAACAGAUUAGUUGUUAUAAACAAUGAGAACAAUAGAAAUCAGUUUCCUUACUUACUGAAAACCUAUAUAUUAAAUUGAAUUUUUUAAUUAGAUUAACUAGGAUGAAAUGGAGUAAAUUUAGACAAAUGUAGAUGUUUUAAAUUAAUUUUUUUUUCUUAAAAUAUUUAGCAGAUUUUAUUUUAGAUUAAAAAGUUCUGGUUUUAAAACAAAAGCUUAUGCAUUAAUCAAAAAAUACAUUUUUUUUUUACAAUUUGAAAUUUAAUUAAUUUAUACUUAUCAAAAAAAUUUGUAUUAAAAAUGACU